rnacentral:rRNA from 1 species
UACAGAGGUCCCAAGCGUUGUUCGGAUUCAUUGGGCGUAAAGGGUGCGUAGGUGGCGCCGUAAGUCAGGUGUGAAAUUUCGGAGCUUAACUCCGAAAUUGCAUUCGAUACUGCCGUGCUUGAGGACUGGAGGGGAGACUGGAAUUCAUGGUGUAGCAGUGAAAUGCGUAGAGAUCAUGAGGAAGACCAGUGGCGAAGGCGGGUCUCUGGACAGUUCCUGACACUGAGGCACGAAGGCCAGGGGAGCAAACGGG